ACACACUCUCUCUGUUUAAAUCUAGAUUAAAGACACAUCUCUUUGGCCAAGCAUUCAAAUAAUGCAUCUCAUAAUCUCGUACUGCAGUUAUAUCUGAUCAGAUGCACU